rnacentral:rRNA from 1 species
AACGAACGCUGGCGGCAGGCCUAACACAUGCAAGUCGAGCGAAGCCUUCGGGCUUAGCGGCGGACGGGUGAGUAACGCGUGGGAACGUGCCCUUUGGUACGGAAUAGCCCCGGGAAACUGGGAGUAAUACCGUAUGUGGUCGAGAGACGAAAGAUUUAUCGCCAAAGGAUCGGCCCGCGUUGGAUUAGGUAGUUGGUGGGGUAAUGGCCUACCAAGCCGAUGAUCCAUAGCUGGUUUGAGAGGAUGAUCAGCCACACUGGGACUGAGACACGGCCCAGGCUCCUGCGGGAGGCAGCAGUGGGGAAUCUUGGACAAUGGGGGAAACCCUGAUCUAGCCAUGCCGCGUGAUCGAUGAAGGCCUUAGGGUUGUAGAGAUCUUUCAGUGGGGAAGAUAAUGACUGUACCCACAGAAGAAGCCCCGGCUAACUCCGUGCCAGCCGCCGCGGUAAAAC